AAAAAAAAAAAAAAAGAAAAGACAAAGUUCAACAUAUAGGGAAAGAAGAAGAAAAAAAUAAAUAAAAUUGUUUCCCCCCAUUGCUCCCCGCUAGGACUUCUCCAAAUGAGACAAAUAACUGCCCUAUUUUCUGCCAUAACUCGACAGGUUCCCCUGCCAUCUGGAAGUCAUCUCUUCGAAAGCUGCCACUUUACCCAACUCGGUGUGCCACUCACGAAAUGAGGGUGCAUCAGUUGACUUCCAACCCCUAAGGAUUAGCUGUCUGCCAAUCAUCACGCUGGUUCUCUAAAUGAGGUUCAGGGAGUUGUUGAGAACUUCAGGAAGAGUUCAGGAACUGUUCAACUUUUCUGUUCAAGACUGCAUUAGUGUUCUGCAGAUCAAGGUGCAUUGAAGUGGCCCUGUGUUCCAUAGGGAAUUGUGGUUACCUUCCAGUUCACCUAACGCCUGUCCUCGCCACUCACGAAUCGCCAGAGGAGGAUUCCUCGUCUCUGCCCUUGUGCCGGGAAAUGCCAGUCCUCCUUCACCUGGGUUGUGUUCCGCACCACACCAUCUUCAACGGACACUUCCUAUGGAUCUGCUCCUGACUUCCACAAUGCACACGCUCAUCCUACAAACACACUCCUCCCUUAGCCCACUUUGUGGCUACCACGCACCUAGGACUUCUCUUGCCACUGCAGCCGGUGCCGGGGUCACCUGACCUCACCUAUCCCAUUGACAUUUGCUGUUGUUAAU